CACGUAGGGUGCGAGCGUUGUCCGGAAUUAUUGGGCGUAAAGAGCUCGUAGGCGGUGUGUCGCGUCGGCCGUGAAAACCUGCAGCUUAACUGUGGGCGUGCGGUCGAUACGGGCAUCACUGGAGUUCGGCAGGGGAGACUGGAAUUCCUGGUGUAGCGGUGAAAUGCGCAGAUAUCAGGAGGAACACCGGUGGCGAAGGCGGGUCUCUGGGCCGUAACUGACGCUGAGGAGCGAAAGCUAGGGGAGCGAAUGGG
rnacentral:rRNA from 1 species